AUUAAUGUAAACAUUGUUCUUGAAACUUUUGUUCCGAAUUAAAAAUUUAAGUUCUAUUAAAUUUUACUCAAUAUAUUUUGCUUUAAAACUAUUUUUUAAAUCGAAUAAUCUUGAUAAAAUGAUGAAAAGGAAAAGCUGAAUUAUGUGGCAUGAUUUUCACAUUAACCGCAACAAAACCCUACUCCAAUAGGUCCUACUGACAAUUUCCACAAGAAAUAAUCCUCUUUGUCUAAAAAUAAUCCAACAAAUGACUAACAAUUGACCUUCUUUUGCAUUUUUAGUUCACGAAGCAUGUUAUGAAUAUAUGUUCCAAGUGGCUGACGUCAACCCUAUUUAUCAUAUUAUGGCUUACUUCGUUGUGAAUUGGUUCUAUUAAAAACAUGUUUUUUUAAGGUACAGUACUGUCCAAAGCACUCCAUUCUAUUUAUAAUUUAUCGAAGAGAAAAUAAAAGUAAACAAAGAA